GACGAACGCUGGCGGCGUGCUUAACACAUGCAAGUCGAACGAGGUUAUGGAGGAGCUUGCUCCGAAGUAACCGAGUGGCGGACGGGUGAGUAACGCGUGAGGAACCUGUCUCACACAGGGGGAUAACGCACCGAAAGGUGUGCUAAUACCGCAUAAGACCACGGUACCGCAUGGUACAGGGGUCAAAGGAGCAAUCCGGUGUGAGGUGGCCUCGCGUCUGAUUAGGUAGUUGGUGAGGUAACGGCCCACCAAGCCGACGAUCAGUAGCCGACCUGAGAGGGUGAUCGGCCACAUUGGAACUGAGACACGGUCCAAACUCCUACGGGAGGCAGCAGUGGGGAAUAUUGGGCAAUGGGCGCAAGCCUGACCCAGCAACGCCGCGUGAGGGAAGAAGGUUUUCGGAUUGUAAACCUCUGUCCUAAGUGAAGAGCAGAAGACGGUAGCUUAGGAGGAAGCCCCGGNUAACUACGUG
rnacentral:rRNA from 1 species